CGACUUUGAGGCGCACCGGCUCCAUAGACAGAAACAUCGCAUUAUGGCCUCGCUCUGAGCCUCCUGAUGCGACAGUUGUGUACAUACCUAACCGGCAAUCCGUCACCAUCGACGCCCUGAUCAUGGACCUCCAGUCCAGAGGCUUUUUUCGGGGCCAUCGGAGUUGUCAAUAGUACUCCCAAAGUACUAUAUUAUUUGAUUUUGAGCACUGUCACUUUUGCACGCCCGGGGAUUUAAACCGAGGUGACAGUAGUAGCACUCACCCCAUCUGCCGGUCAGCUAAGCUAGCUCGCUAAGUCCAUAGCCAAGAAGGGCAUCACUUUUCUUUUGGAGUAAAGGACAAGGAAACUACAACACCACUACUUUCAUUAACAGAAGACUGAUCAAAGGCUGAUUCCCCGAGUUCCCAUCUAACUACAUAUUCACUAUUGAUUGCUGGCUGGCCACACAAAGCCACCCUAAUGCAGAACCACAAAAGAACGUGAAAUGAACAAACCACCACAGCCUAUAGCGGGACCCACCUCCGUCCCAAACCCUUCCCCUUCCCCUGGAUUGACACAGGCCGCCUACGGUCCUGGACAACCCCCUUCUCUUGUCUUUGCCACCCCCCCACCUCAACAAAUGAACUCUGCACCGCAACCAAGACAGUUUGCUGCAGGCCCCCGUACUUUACACCAACAGG